rnacentral:rRNA from 1 species
UACGAAGGGGGCUAGCGUUGUUCGGAAUUACUGGGCGUAAAGGGCGCGUAGGCGGUGUGUCAAGUCAGGCGUGAAAGCCCCGGGCUCAACCUGGGAACCGCGCUUGAGACUGGCACGCUCGAGUUCGGGAGAGGAUGGUGGAAUUCCCAGUGUAGAGGUGAAAUUCGUAGAUAUCUGGAGGAAUACCGGUGGCGAAGGCGGCAUCCUGGACCGACAUUGACGCUGAACGGCGAAAGCUAGGGGAGCAAACGGG